rnacentral:rRNA from 1 species
AUGGCAAGCUGUUUCCCCUGCUUGAGCGCGAGGAAGAAGGAGGUCCCACGUUCUGCCCCGGCCAAUGCACACACCAGCAGCAUCCCUGGCGCCGUGGCACGAACUUUCUCCUUCAAGGAGCUCGCGGCGGCGACAAGAAACUUCAGCGAUGCCUGCCGCAUCGUUGGUCGGGAGGAUGGUCUUUAUAAAGGCUUCCUCAAGAGCAUCAAUCAGGUCGUUGCUAUAAAACUGCAGCAUGCUGUUGAUCCAGGUGGAUCAGCGGAGCAAGAUAAUACAGAGUUUCUUGCCCUUGCGCUGAUGAUGAGCGGGCUGCGCCACCCAAAUCUUGUCAAUCUUAUUGGCUUUUGUGCGGAUGGCCGUCACCGGAUCUUGGUUCACGAGUACAUGCCAUUCGGUUCUCUGGAAGAUCACCUCCACGGUUCAUCUCCAGGCAAAGCACCGCUGGACUGGAACACGAGGAUGAACAUUGCCGCCGGUGUGGUCAGAGGGUUGGAGUAUAUGCACGACAAAGGUGUCCUCUACCGAUGCGUCAAAAGUUCGAACAUCUUGCUCGGAGACGGCUACCGCCCAAAGCUGUCCCAAUAUGGACUGGCGGAGCAUGACCAGCUGUCUGCAGUGGCUGCUAUCACCCGCGGGACAUGGGGUACUAUGGCCCCCGAGACCGUGAUGACCGGGAAGCUGUUUCCGGGGUCGAGUGUUUAUGGCUUCGGCGUCGUGCUGCUGGAGAUGAUCACCGGGCGGAGGGCCACCGAUCCCCCCCAUGAUGUCGAGGAUCGGCACCUUGUCACAUGGGCCCGAACAAUGCUGAAGGACAGGAGCCAGUUCCGCCGGAUGGCAGACCCGGCGCUGCAGGGGCGAUAUCCGUCCUUGGACUUGCAGGAGGCCCUCGAAGUUGCUUCGGUGUGCAUCCCACAAAGAUCAUGCCAUGAGAGCGCCCAUCGGCACCGUCGUCACGGCUCUGUCUCGCCUCGCCUACGAUUUUGA